rnacentral:lncRNA from 1 species
CUUAGAUGAAGCGCACCUCUACAGUGCGCCUCAUGUUCACAUCCUUUUUUUUUGUUUUGGUUUUAUUCCAAUGCCUUUUCUUCUCAUUUUCUUUGGAUCGAGAAGUCAGCUGAUGUCGGAUGGACCGCUAGCAGGCCUACCAACAGCUUAAUAACUAAAGAACUAUGAUGGAAUAUUCAGGAGGACAACGGACCUAUUGAAUAUAAUAUCUAACAAUAACACACCGAAGAAAGAAAAUAAAGCUCUCCUUAACCAGAAUCAUUACUUGAAAAUUACCUUAGAUUGAUGUGGAAUUACAAUUAUCUGACGAUUGCGUGACGUCAUAAAUCAUAAAAUAU